rnacentral:misc_RNA from 1 species
UUUCCGUAGGUGAACCUGCGGAAGGAUCAUUAUUGUAAAACCGAGGUGCGAGGGCUGUCGCUGACCCGAAAGGUCGUGCACGCCCGAGUGCCCUCACACACAUCCAUCUCACCCCUAUGUGCACCACCGCGUGGGUCCCCCUUUGGCUUGUUCGGAGGGGGGCUUACGUUUUCACACAAACUUUGUAUGCAGUGUAGAAUGUAUUUUUUGUUCUUGCGAUCACGCAAUCAAUACAACUUUCAACAACGGAUCUCUUGGCUCUC